GUCCACGCCCUAAACUAUGAAUACUCGAUGUGUGCGAUACACUGUACGCGUCUAAGCGAAAGCGUUAAGUAUUCCACCUGGGGAGUACGUCCGCAAGGAUGAAACUCAAAGAAUUGGCGGGGUCCGCACAAGCGGUGGAGCAUGUGGUUUAAUUCGAUGAUACGCGAGGAACCUUACCAAGGCUAGAAUGCUGGGGGAAUAUAGGUGAAAGCUUAUAGCUAGCAAUAGUCGCCAGCAAGGUGCUGCAUGGUUGUCGU
rnacentral:rRNA from 1 species